rnacentral:lncRNA from 10 species
GCGGCCGCCCGGCCCGCUUGACAUACCAGAAAUAGCUGCACACAAUUGUACCUUUCCCGGCCAAGAAACCUCCCCCGCUGGGGAGCGCGGCCCGCCGCCCUCACCUGAGCCCCGGCCAGCUGAGCCCGCUACCCGCUCUCCCGCCGCGAUCCGGCCCAGCCGCCAGGCAUAUUCUACCAGUGCAAGAGAUCAACAAUGAUUACAAAAUUGCUAAAGAAGUCACUUUCAAGAGAUCUGGAGAAGUAAGAUGGCCAAAUAAAAGCCUCUACCAAUCAUCCUCCCCACAGGAACACCAAAUUUAAGAACUAUCUACACAAAAAAGCACCUUCAUAAGAACCAAAAAUCAGAGAGAACAAGGAUAAAGAAGUAUCCAAAUACAAAGAAAAUGUUAUGCAAGUGACCUUUAGAGAUGUUUUAAAGAUGACAAAAUAUUGAUGAAGAUGGGCCAACAAGUGUUACUGUUACCUCUAAUAAAGUUUCAUCACUAGUUUCACCAUGGUUAAUUGGAAAUGGCUUCCGCCCAUCUGUGGAAAACAGACAAACAAUUGAAUGCUUAGCUGUUUUUACAGGAUAAUGUGCUUUCAACUUCCAUU